AGCAGUUUUAGCAGAAUUAAACACUAAUUUAACACAAUUUGACCUGAAUUUGGCACAAAAAGAAGUAAAGCCUCUAUUUCAAAAAUUCCUAGACGAUAUAUAGAGGGGUUCCGUCUCAGACAUGUUUUAUAGUACCAGAUAAAGUGUCCAUAUUAGAAGAAAGAUUUUGUUGGCGACGAGGAGGCCUUACAACGUAACCCUGAACUCUGGUACAUCGAUCUACCGCAAUGCAACGGGCAGAAAUACCAGGAAGCCUCCUCGUGCGAAAGAAGAACCCGGGAAAGAAGAUCCUCUCGAGUGGAGAAGACUGAUGAAGG
rnacentral:misc_RNA from 1 species